rnacentral:rRNA from 1 species
AAGACGGACAGCCGCCGCGGUAAUACCUGCAGCUCGAGUGGUGACCGCUAUUAUUGGGCCUAAAACGUCCGUAGCCGGUUUAUUAAAUGCCUGGGUAAAUCGUGUAGCUUAACUAUACGAAUUCCGGGUAGACUGAUAGACUUGAGACCGGGAGAAGCUAGAGGUACUCCUGGGGUAGAGGUGAAAUUCUGUAAUCCUAGGGGGACCACCAGUGGCGAAGGCGUCUAGCUAGAACGGGUCUGACGGUGAGGGACGAAGCCCUGGGGCGCAAACCGGAUUAGAUACCCGGGUAGUCCAGGGUGUAAACGCUGCUUGCUUGAUGUUAGUCGGGCUCCGAGCCCGAUUAGUGUCGGAGAGAAGUUGUUAAGCAAGCUGCCUGGGAAGUACGGCCGCAAGACUGAAACUUAAAGGAAUUGGCGGGGGAGCACUGAA